rnacentral:rRNA from 1 species
UACGGAGGAUCCAAGCGUUAUCCGGAUUCAUUGGGCGUAAAGGGUGCGUAGGCGGCGCGGUAAGUCGGGUGUGAAAUCUCGGAGCUUAACUCCGAAACUGCAUUCGAUACUGCCGUGCUUGAGGACUGGAGAGGAGACUGGAAUUUACGGUGUAGCGGUGAAAUGCGUAGAUAUCGUAAGGAAGACCAGUGGCGAAGGCGGGUCUCUGGACAGUUCCUGACGCUGAGGCACGAAGGCCAGGGGAGCAAACGGG